UACAGAGGUCUCAAGCGUUGUUCGGAUUCAUUGGGCGUAAAGGGUGCGUAGGUGGCGUGGUAAGUCGGGUGUGAAAUUUCGGAGCUUAACUCCGAAACUGCAUUCGAUACUGCCAUGCUUGAGGACUGGAGAGGAGACUGGAAUUUACGGUGUAGCAGUGAAAUGCGUAGAUAUCGUAAGGAAGACCAGUGGCGAAGGCGGGUCUCUGGACAGUUCCUGACACUGAGGCACGAAGGCCAGGGGAGCAAACGGG
rnacentral:rRNA from 1 species